rnacentral:rRNA from 1 species
UACGGGAGGGUGCAAGCGUUGUUCGGAUUUACUGGGCGUAAAGCGCGCGCAGGUGGGUGAACAAGGUCGGAAGUGAAAUCCCAGGGCUCAACCCGUGGGGCUGCUCCCGAAACUGUACGCCUAGGGACUGGUAGAGGCUGGUAGAAUUCCCGGUGUAGCGGUGGAAUGCGUAGAGAUCGGGAGGAACACCGGUGGCGAAGGCGGCGACCUGGGGUAGAUACGUGACGCUGAGGUGCGAAAGCGUGGGGAGCAAACAGGG